AUUGAACGCUGGCGGCAUGCCUUACACAUGCAAGUCGAGCGCGAAAGGGGGGCAACCCCCGAGUAGAGCGGCGGACGGGUGAGUAAUACAUCGGAACGUACCCAGUAGUGGGGGACAACCUCGAGAAAUCGAGGCUAAUACCGCAUACGACCCACGGGUGAAAGCGGGGGACCGCAAGGCCUCGCGCUAUUGGAGCGGCCGAUGUCCGAUUAGCUAGUUGGCGGGGUAAGAGCCCACCAAGGCGACGAUCGGUAGCUGGUCUGAGAGGACGACCAGCCACACUGGGACUGGGACACGGCCCAGACUCCUACGGGAGGCAGCAGUGGGGAAUUUUGGACAAUGGGGGCAACCCUGAUCCAGCCAUGCCGCGUGCGGGAAGAAGGCCUUCGGGUUGUAAACCGCUUUCGGCCGGAACGAAAUCGCCCGGGUGAACAUCCCGGGUGGAUGACGGUACCGGAAGAAGAAGCACCGGCUAACUACGUGCCAGCCGCCGCGGUAACAC
rnacentral:rRNA from 1 species